GUAACGCGUAUGCAACUUACCUAUCAGAGGGGGAGUAACCCGGCGAAAGUCGGACUAAUACCGCAUGAAGCAGGGGCCCCCGCCAUGGGGAUAUUUGCUAAAGAUUCAUCGCUGAUAGAUAGGCAUGCGUUCCAUUAGUUUGUUGGCGGGGUAACGGCCCACCAAGACUACGAUGGAUAGGGGUUCUGAGAGGAAGGUCCCCCACAUUGGAACUGAGACACGGUCCAAACUCCUACGGGAGGCAGCAUG
rnacentral:rRNA from 1 species